rnacentral:sRNA from 1 species
UGCAAUGCAGAAAUCGUUGUAUGCAUAUUCGACUGUGCGCGAGACACUUCGUGAGCGAACGCCUCUGCCCUUCGGCUUGCUGUCAACGGGGACAUAACCCACCGACUUCCAGCCCUCGAUAUCUCCUCGACCCUCAAUACUCCAGUCUGGGGGAGUGACUUCUGCAUCCUUGAUCAAAGCCUCGUACCCGGUUUUCCAAUCAAUGCCAGGGAGACGUUUAACAAAGGCGUCCGCAAGAACGACGUCUGCGUUUGAGCCACCUUGGGUGAAUCCCUUGCAUAGGGACAUGCGGCAGUCAGGAAGCCAGCCUUCAUGUCGAUAAAUAUCUAUUAGACUGCGGACCAUGUUCGCCUGAGCUUGAGGGUCGAGAAUUGUUAUGAAUGGAUGGGUGGUACGGAAGGAAUCCCAGAUGCUGCACACAAUAACUCG